rnacentral:rRNA from 1 species
AACGGCCAUACCAUGCUGAAUAUACCGGUUCUCGUUCGAUCACCAAAGUCCAGCAUCAUUUUGCGCGGUCAGUACUUGGGUGGGUGACCACCUGGGAACACCGCGUGC